GGAAGAACUAAAUCACAGAUAGGUGACAUGUUUUAGGCAUUGAUCUUGGCAUAGGAGAUGUAAUAAAUAAGCUAGGCAGGUUAUUUAUUACAUCUAUGUCAUCCAUCAAGCCUAUGGACGGAGGCAGACAAUAAACAAGUAGACAAACAAAGAAUAAAGAUAAUUUGCAAGUAAAAUCAAAUCUUGUAGUGGGUUAGAGUAACUGAUGGACAGAGAGGCACAUUUACAAAGAGGUCAAGGGAGUGCCUCUCAGAAGAGGUGACUUUACACUUGAACCUGAGUGAAGUGAAGAAAUCCGCUUUAUGAAAUUCUGGGGCACAGCAUUACCAGCAAAAGUCGCAGCAUGUGCAAAGGUCCUGAGGAGAGAACAGACAUAUUCAAGAAAGAGCAAGAAGGCUAGUGUGGAUGCAGUGUGCUUAUAAUUUACAUUUAUUAGCCACAUAGGUAGAGCUUUGUAAGCCAGGCUGGUACGCAGAAUGGUCCCCCAAAAAUAUCCACAACCUAAUAUCUGAAACCCUGGAUGUGACAAAAGGUACUCUGAAGCUGUAAUUGUUUACAGAGUUAGUGAGGGAGAGACUACUCUGGAUUUUCCAGGUGGACCCAAUCUAAUCAUGUGAGUCAGUAAAAGCAGAACAUUUUUCCCAGCUGGCGGCAGGUGAAGGGAGGAGGCAGAGGGGAGCCCAGACUUAUUGAAGGCCUGGUGGGUAGGCAACGUGAGUAACACAGGGGACUUCAAGGUGAAAGAGUCCCCCAGAUAACAACCAGGAAAGAAGCGGGGACCUUGGCCCCACAACCUCAAGAGACUGAAUUCUGCCACCAACCUGAAUGAACUUCGGAGUGACUUCUCCUCCCCUAAAGACUCCAGUUAAGGGCCCAGGCUAACCGACAUCUUGUUUUCACCUCGUGGGACUCGGAACAGAGGAAUCAGUCCGACCUACCUGGACUUCUUACAGAACUGAGAGUUUUUGCUCCUUGAAACAUGCAUAAAGGAAAAUCAGCUGUUAUGCUGGAAUAAAGUGGAUCUUUCUCUGCCUCGUGUAUAGCAACUAAGCAACCAUUCUUAUUGCUGAAGAAUGUCCUCAAGGCUUCGCUGUCCAUAGCAAUGUCUUAUUAAACUGUCUUCCAUACCAGUAAUCUGCUGUCCAGGGUGGGGAGUAAAAUUUCCUACCUUG